rnacentral:lncRNA from 10 species
AAAAAAAAAAAAAAAAAAAAGGAAGAAAAAUCAAGAGAUUCUUAGCAGCUGAUAAAAAUAAAAUAAUUUGCCUUCUAAACUCCUUCCUCUCAGACAUACAACUUGUUUUUUGUCUUUUGGAGGAUGAACGGAGAAACAAUCUCCCAGGGGUUGAAUCUAUGUGAACCAAAAGAGGGCGUACAAAAUAGACUUUGCCCUCCAGCUAGUUGAGGUGAUAUGUACAUCCAUGACAUAUAUGCUGCCCUCAAUGCAGCCAGUAUUUCUUUCAUAUUGCAACCAGGCUUACUAAGUCUUUACUGAGUGCCUACUGUGCUCAUGACUCUACCAGACAUUAGGCAAGACACAUACACAGUGUGUCUUCAUGUGAAUAUCUAGGUGGGAUACUCACAAUUGAGCCAUCCAAUCCUAGUUUUCUCCAAUGAAUCCCUCGGUGCCUUCAUACAACACCAACCGCCCCUUCUCUAAAGCUCUAUUGCACCUCACACUGAGCUCGGCUCAGCACAGUGCCCAAUACAGAGUUGGUGCAUAACAAAUACGAAAGACUGUGUUAAACUACAUAUGACCAUGAAUAUGCCGUAUAUAUAAAUCCAUAUAUCAGGAGAGAGCUUUCCUGACCACCCAAUCUAAAAUGGUAGCCUCUCCUCCUUGCCUUACUCUUAUUUGUCUUCAUCUUACUGAGUGACUUUAGACUACCUGCCAUUGUCUUUUUCUUCCCACCGGAGUGGCAUGACAGUAAUGGUGUGCCAAGGAUGAGGGGAUGGGAAUUGCUCACCCCAGGUGCAGGCAAUAAGGAAAUGCAUUGUCUGUAGACAAUUUGAAAACAAUACUAAGCCUACAAAGAGUCAGUCUGCUUUUUAUUAUCACCAUGCAUCACCAAUUCUAAGAAAAAUGCCUGGGUGCCCUGCCAGGGCAGACUGUACCCACCACACUGCCCUUGGGGAGCUACUGGCAGGGAUUAUAUCUGUUUUGUUCACUGUUUUACCCCAUCCUCCAACUAUAAAAAUGGUUGUUAUUUAAAGUAUUUCCUCCAAUUUUUCAUGUAUAUGAUUUAUCUUUCCGCAUGAACUUUCACAUUAAGAAUAUGUCUUCCUACUCUGUGUGUGAGUGUAUGUGUGUGCAUGUGUGUGUGCAUGUGUGAGUGCAUGUGUGCACGCACAUGUGGGCAUGUGUGAGUGCAUAUCUGUGUGUACGUGUGAGUACAUGUGUGUGUGCGCGUGUGCGUACGUGUGUGUGAGUGCAUGUGUGUGCGCGUGUGUGUGCACAUGUGUGCAUGCUGUGCAUGUGUGUGUACAUGUGCACUCCAUAGUGCUCCAAUGGGGAGACUGUGACAGGCACUCAAUAAAUACUUGAUCAAGGUCAGUUAGGGCUUGUAACCACCAUCUAGAAGUUGAUACAGGAAAGGGUUUUGGCAGAAAUGUUGUCAAUGAGUAUGGUUGCCCAAGAAAACCAUUUCAUGAUAUGGCAGCAAAAAACAAGGCAAAGAAGAUGCCACUCCUCCCCUCCAGCUCUGUGCUGGCAGACUGCAAGGAUCUGACCCUUUCACACCCCUCCGCUGCUGC